rnacentral:rRNA from 1 species
AACGUAGGUGGCGAGCGUUAUCCGGAUUUACUGGGCGUAAAGGGCGCGUAGGCGGUCGUGACAAGUCACUUGUGAAAUCUCCGGGCUUAACUCGGAACGGUCAAGUGAUACUGUCGGACUAGAGUACAGAAGGGGCAACUGGAAUUCUCGGUGUAGCGGUGAAAUGCGUAGAUAUCAGGAAGAACACCCGUGGCUAAGGCGGCUCUCUAGUACGGUACUGACGCUGAGACGCGAAAGCGUGGGGAGCGAACAGG